UUGUGUGAUGGGAUCGUAAGGCCUGUCCCCACAGCAAACGUCACUUGGGGUUGAUUUACCAUGGAGGGUACCGGCACAACACAGGUAUGAGAGCUGUCCGCAGCAUCCCUGAACUCCGCUAACCUCCGGUAUUCCAUCCUGAAGGAUGCCAAGGCAACAUGAUGCUCUGUUAGCAUGGUACACCUGACCAUCGCAACAUUUUCCAUUACCUGCAGAUGGAUUAAAGUUCAAUUUCAGGAAGAUCGGACCACCCAAACUCCAGCCCCACACGCAUCUCUAUAGCUAUGGAAGAUGUGAUUACCGAUA